AACGCACAUUGCGCCCGCCAGUAUUCUGGCGGGCAUGCCUGUUCGAGCGUCAUUUCAACCCUCGGGCCCCGGUUGCGGGCUCGGUGUUGGGGUCCGGCCACGAGCCCACUGGGCGGGGCCGGCCCCGAAAGCCAUUGGCGGUCUCGCCGCAGCGUCCCCUGCGUAGUAGCAUACGUCGCACCGGAGCUGAGCGCGGCCAAGCCAACACAAGCAAGCGCGGCGCACAGCGUCGCACGCUCCUGAAGGUUGACCUCGGAUCGGGUAGGGAUGCCCGCUGAACUUAA
rnacentral:misc_RNA from 1 species